AAGUUUGUUCGUUGACGUGGGAUUCAACACGGAGCAAGGAGAAAAUGCAUGAAUUCGGGAUAGCCAUGGGGUAAGGAUGGAUCGCGGGAAACUCGGAAGGAAGAUUGGAAUCGAUCCAGGUUGGAUGAAGGGUUGAUUAGUUUGUUCAGUUUGAAGAUUUUAUUCAGCUGGGAAGAAGUUCAUGUGGCUGGGAAUAGGGGAUGAUGAAUCGGUUGAAGAUGCCGAUGGGAAGAGGAUGAGGAUGCUAGGAUUUGGAUUCGGAGUGUGGAGUUGGGAGGUUGGUUGUGCUUCCGUUGGCUGGAGAUCUGGAAGAUGGGCGUGAGAUAAGGAUAAACUUGGAACAAGAUGAGAGCUGGGAAAUGUGAUCCGAGAAGAUAAACUUGGGAAAGAAUGGGAAUAGAAACAGGGGAAGCGGAACGGCUGGGAAGUUGAGUUCUUGGGAUUCUUUUUGAUAUGGAUGAAGGGAAGAAAUGAUUCGUGAGCUGGGAGUUUGGUUGGAUUUGUGAGGUGCGGGAGAUCACAAGUGGUCGCUGUGAUGUGGAGCAAUGUAUGCGGAUGGGAAGCNNNNNNNNNNNNNNNNNNNNUUGUGGAGCAAUGUAUGCGGAUGGGAAGGAAGCAGAGGAGGCUGUGAACGGUGGAUAAGAACUGAAGUCGGUUGGGAGAUGAUGAGUUUUCGGAUGCUGGAUUUGUUCCGAAGAAGGGAUAAGAGAGGCUUUGAUUUGCGGUUGGCUUGGUUCUGACUAGGACACGGAGCAGGGGAAGACAUGGAAGCUUGAUCUCUGAGCACUAAAAAGGGUGACGUAGAUACGGGUUCAGCUGUAAACGCGACUUGCACACAUUAGUUCAGACAUCAUCCCAAUUAAUUCGACUUGACCUGCACACAUUAGACUUAACCAAUAAAAUCAAGCGAAAUCGAAUUAUUUUUAAUAAUACAAUGAUGAAGGGGAACACAUUUUCUUAUGUUAAAUUUAAAAUAUGUGCAAGGAAAAUAAUGAUAAGUGCAGUAUAAAAUAGUUAAAUAUAUAUAUUAUUUAGCACUU
rnacentral:lncRNA from 1 species